GAUGAACGCUAGCGGCAGGCCUAAUACAUGCAAGUCGAACGGUAAGUAUGAUAGCAAUAUUGUACCAAGAGUGACGUACGGGUGCGUAACACGUACGCAACCUACCCUUUACAGAUGGAUAGCUCGGGGAAACUCGAAUUAACCCGUCAUAAUAUAAUUGAAUGGCAUCAUUUGGUUAUUAAAUCUACGGAGUAAAGGAUGGGCAUGCGUCUGAUUAGUUAG
rnacentral:rRNA from 1 species